UGGCGAACGGGUGAGUAACACGUGGGUGAUCUGCCCUGCACUUUGGGAUAAGCCUGGGAAACUGGGUCUAAUACCGAAUAGGACCACGGCAUUCAUGUGCUGUGGUGGAAAGCUUUUGCGGUGUGGGAUGGGCCCGCGGCCUAUCAGCUUGUUGGUGGGGUAAUGGCCUACCAAGGCGACGACGGGUAGCCGGCCUGAGAGGGUGACCGGCCACACUGGGACUGAGAUACGGCCCAGACUCCUACGGGAGGCAGCAGUGGGGAAUAUUGCACAAUGGGCGCAAGCCUGAUGCAGCGACGCCGCGUGAGGGAUGACGGCCUUCGGGUUGUAAACCUCUUUCAGUACCGACGAAGCGCGAGUGACGGUAGGUACAGAAGAAGGACCGGCCAACUACGUGCCAGCAGCCGCGGUAAUACGUAGGGUCCGAGCGUUGUCCGGAAUUACUGGGCGUAAAGAGCUCGUAGGUGGUUUGUCGCGUUGUUCGUGAAAACUCACAGCUUAACUGUGGGCGUGCGGGCGAUACGGGCAGACUGGAGUACUGCAGGGGAGACUGGAAUUCCUGGUGUAGCGGUGGAAUGCGCAGAUAUCAGGAGGAACACCGGUGGCGAAGGCGGGUCUCUGGGCAGUAACUGACGCUGAGGAGCGAAAGCGUGGGGAGCGAACAGGAUUAGAUACCCUGGUAGUCCACGCCGUAAACGGUGGGUACUAGGUGUGGGUUUCCUUCCUUGGGAUCCGUGCCGUAGCUAACGCAUUAAGUACCCCGCCUGGGGAGUACGGCCGCAAGGCUAAAACUCAAAGGAAUUGACGGGGGCCCGCACAAGCGGCGGAGCAGGUGGAUUAAUUCGAUGC
rnacentral:rRNA from 1 species